rnacentral:lncRNA from 1 species
ACUUCUUUAUCUGAUCCAAAAGGGUUUGUUCUUGAUGAAUUGCUGAAGUUGUUGCCGUUAAAAUCUCGGGUUUUUGUUGUACUUCAAGCAUCGUUACCUAUGGUGAACCAUUUGUUUAGAGAAGCUAAGAAAAUUGGAUUAUUGGAGAAAGAAUCAUCUUGGAUAAUCAAUGAGGAGAUUACAAGCAUGUUGGAGAAUGUAGAUAAAUCUGUUUUAUCUUCUAUGAAAGGUGUUUUGGGAAUCAAAACCAACUAUUCUACAAGCUCUAGUGCUUAUACUCAUUUGCAGGAAAAAUUUCAAGCUGAGAAUACAGAAAAAGUUGAGUUCAAACCAGGAUCAAAUGUUUUGCUAGCUUAUGAUAGCAUCACAAUUGUCACAAAGGCUUUGGAGAAAAUGAAUACUAAUUCUAGUAGCUCAAAGACGUUAUUGCAGGAGAUGUUAUCCUCCGAUUUCAAUGGCUUAAUUGGUGAUAUAAGAUUCAAAGAAAGACAACUAUCCUACACUCCAAUAUUAAGAGUCAUCAAAGUGGUUGAUAAUGAUAAGAAAGAUACUGAAUUGGACUUUUGGACACCAAAGUUGAAGUUUGCUAGAUCUCUUAGAGAGAAAACAAAUGAUGGUACUAAAGAAGAAAGAUCAAAUGACUGUCUACCUAAGAAAUGGAAAAUACCGAAUGAUACAAACCCUUUACAAGUUGCAAUUCCUAUGAAUCCCGCAUUUGAUAACUUUGUGAAAGUCUCUCAAAAUCAAACUCCUACCGGUUUUUGUAUUGAACUUUUUAAAGAGAUUCGAAAAAUUCUGAGUGAGCAGUAUUCUGGUCUUCCCUAUAAUUUUAUCCCUUUCUCCGAAUCUUUUGAUGAUAUUUUGCUUAAAGUAAAAGAUGAGGUAAACUCAACAUUAUAUUUUUGUCAAUUUGUAUUUUUUAAUUUUUGUUUCACAAUUUCAUUUGUCUCUUUCAAUAUAUACAUUUCACACAUAAAUGGCAUAACAUUACAUAGCAUGUAGAUCAAAUAUCAUGUUUUCUCAAAACCAAUGCAUGUUGGGACUGACGGUGAGUUUGACAAAAAUCUAGGCAUGCGACAUGAUUUUGGCCUAAACUACAUUUUUAAGUUUAAACAAAAAUAAGUGUCACCGCGAUUCCAAACAUGCACUAGAACAAAUGAAAAUGUUUCAUUUUUUUCCAAACAAAAAUGGAAGAAGGAAGCUAAUACUAUUGCAGACCUAUGAUGCUAUUGUAGGAGAUGUAACAAUACUUGCCAAACGAGCAAGAGAGGUAUCAUUCACUCAACCAUAUACUGAAUCAGGCUUAUCACUCAUACUUCCAGCAGAAACUGAAGAUUCAGCAUGGUUGUUUAUGAAACCAUUUAGCUCGGUAAUGUGGAUUGCAACUACUGGUAUCCUAAUCUACACAAUGAUUGCCGUUUGGUUCUUAGAACACCACUUGAAUCCUGAAUUUGGUGGACCAUUGAAAACACAAAUCAGCACGACUCUAUGGUUUGCGUUUUCUUCUCUAUUUUUUGCACAGAGUAAGUAUAGAUUACAAAAGUUCAAAAUUUUCUGAUUUACUGUAACGCUUUAGAAUUUGGGUUGAGUCUAGUUCACCUCUUCCAAAAUCUGUAUGUAAAGUGAGGACUGUCUCCUCUUAUAAACUUAAGUUCAUGUCUUACCUCAUUCAAUGUGAGGCUGUUAACACCCUCAUCUAGCUUAGAGCUAAACAUCUAGAGCAUGACUCAAUAAUGGUGAUUUGAUAGCAGGUGACACAACUAAUUCAAUACAAAACUAGUAAGGUGAAUACUCCCAAUAAUAAACUUAUGUUCAGACCUUAUCUAUCUAUUUAGUUUGAGAUUCUUAACAAGAGACUCUUAACAAUAUUUACCAUUUUCCACUUAUUCUAUAAAUAUGAAAAAGCAUUUCAACUCUUUAGUGAUUAGAAGUCAAUAACUUUUGUUAUGGAACUUCUGAGCUGCAAUACUUACAAAGUUUAAUUCUUAGAAAAGCUUGAGAUGUUAAAUUUAAUAAAUAUUGCUUCUUCAUUUGGAAAAUCCUACUUUUGCAAACUAAUUAAUAGUAACAAGUUAAUUGUUUCUGAUGCAUACCAGAGGAGAAAAUAAACAGCAACUCAGCAAGAGUAGUAGUUGGAGUAUGGUUAUUUCUUGUGUUUGUUCUGACCUCAAGCUACACUGCAAAUCUUUCAUCAUUGCUUACUGUCCAAAAAUUGAGGUCUGACAGAGACAUUGAAUGGCUUAAACAAAACAAUCUAUCAGUUGGUUGUGAUAACACUAGUACCUUUGUAAAGGACUACUUGAUCCAAGUGUAUAAAUUCUCUACGCAUCAAGUUGUAGAA